GCAGCAGUGGGGAAUAUUGCACAAUGGGCGCAAGCCUGAUGCAGCCAUGCCGCGUGUAUGAAGAAGGCCUUCGGGUUGUAAAGUACUUUCAGUCGUGAGGAAGGUGGUGUUGUUAAUAGCACCAUCAUUUGACGUUAGCGACAGAAGAAGCACCGGCUAACUCCGUGCCAGCAGCCGCGGUAAUACGGAGGGUGCGAGCGUUAAUCGGAAUUACUGGGCGUAAAGCGCAUGCAGGUGGUGGAUUAAGUCAGAUGUGAAAGCCCGGGGCUCAACCUCGGAACCGCAUUUGAAACUGGUUCACUAGAGUACUGUAGAGGGGGGUAGAAUUUCAGGUGUAGCGGUGAAAUGCGUAGAGAUCUGAAGGAAUACCGGUGGCGAAGGCGGCCCCCUGGACAGAUACUGACACUCAGAUGCGAAAGCGUGGGGAGCAAACAGGAUUAGAUACCCUGGUAGUCCACGCCGUAAACGAUGUCUACUUGGAGGUUGUGGCCUUGAGCCGUGGCUUUCGGAGCUAACGCGUUAAGUAGAC
rnacentral:rRNA from 1 species